UACGUAGGGGGCAAGCGUUGUCCGGAAUUAUUGGGCGUAAAGCGCGCGCAGGCGGUUCCUUAAGUCUGAUGUGAAAGCCCACGGCUCAACCGUGGAGGGUCAUUGGAAACUGGGGAACUUGAGGACAGAAGAGGAGAGUGGAAUUCCACGUGUAGCGGUGAAAUGCGUAGAUAUGUGGAGGAACACCAGUGGCGAAGGCGACUCUCUGGUCUGUCUCUGACGCUGAGGUGCGAAAGCGUGGGUAGCAAACAGG
rnacentral:rRNA from 1 species